UGAAAUGCGGGUGCUAAUAAUGCAGUCGAGCGGACCGACGGGAGCUUGCUCCCUUAGGUCAGCGGCGGACGGGUGAGUAACACGUGGGUAACCUGCCUGUAAGACUGGGAUAACUCCGGGAAACCGGGGCUAAUACCGGAUGCUUGAUUGAACCGCAUGGUUCAAUCAUAAAAGGUGGCUUUUAGCUACCACUUGCAGAUGGACCCGCGGCGCAUUAGCUAGUUGGUGAGGUAACGGCUCACCAAGGCGACGAUGCGUAGCCGACCUGAGAGGGUGAUCGGCCACACUGGGACUGAAACACGGCCCAGACUCCUACGGGAGGCAGCAGUAGGGAAUCUUCCGCAAUGGACGAAAGUCUGACGGAACAACGCCGCGUGAGUGAUGAAGGUUUUCGGAUCGUAAAACUCUGUUGUUAGGGAAGAACAAGUACCGUUCGAAUAGGGCGGUACCUUGACGGUACCUAACCAGAAAGCCACGGCUAACUACGUGCCAGCAGCCGCGGUAAUACGUAGGUGGCAAGCGUUGUCCGGAAUUAUUGGGCGUAAAGCGCGCGCAGGCGGUUUCUUAAGUCUGAUGUGAAAGCCCCCGGCUCAACCGGGGAGGGUCAUUGGAAACUGGGGAACUUGAGUGCAGAAGAAGAGAGUGGAAUUCCACGUGUAGCGGUGAAAUGCGUAGAGAUGUGGAGGAACACCAGUGGCGAAGGCGACUCUCUGGUCUGUAACUGACGCUGAGGCGCGAAAGCGUGGGGAGCGAACAGGAUUAGAUACCCUGGUAGUCCACGCCGUAAACGAUGAGUGCUAAGUGUUAGAGGGUUUCCGCCCUUUAGUGCUGCAGCAAACGCAUUAAGCACUCCGCCUGGGGAGUACGGUCGCAAGACUGAAACUCAAAGGAAUUGACGGGGCCCGCACAAGCGGUGGAGCAUGUGGUUUAAUUCGAAGCACGCGAAGAACCUUACCAGUCUUGACAUCCUCUGACAACCCUAGAGAUAGGGCUUCCCCUUCGGGGCAGAGUGACAGUGUGCAUGGUGUCGUCAG
rnacentral:rRNA from 1 species